CUUAAUACAUGCGACNUCGAUGCGGAUGACGGGAGCUUGCUCCCUUGACUCAGCGGCGGACGGGUGAGUAAUGCCUAGGAAUCUGCCUGGUAGUGGGGGACAACGUUUCGAAAGGAACGCUAAUACCGCAUACGUCCUACGGGAGAAAGCAGGGGACCUUCGGGCCUUGCGCCUAUCAGAUGAGCCUAGGUCGGAUUAGCUAGUUGGUGGGGUAAUGGCUCACCAAGGCGACGAUCCGUAACUGGUCUGAGAGGAUGAUCAGUCACACUGGAACUGAGACACGGUCCAGACUCCUACGGGAGGCAGCAGUGGGGAAUAUUGGACAAUGGGCGAAAGCCUGAUCCAGCCAUGCCGCGUGUGUGAAGAAGGUCUUCGGAUUGUAAAGCACUUUAAGUUGGGAGGAAGGGCAGUAAGCUAAUACCUUGCUGUUUUGACGUUACCGACAAAAUANGCACCGGCUAACUCUGUGCCAGCAGC
rnacentral:rRNA from 2 species